rnacentral:tRNA from 1 species
GCUGCCGCUGGCGCAGGCGGCCGAGGCGCACCGGGCGCUGGAGGCGCGCGCCACCACCGGCUCGCUCGUGCUCGAGCCGUAGCCGGCGGUGC